rnacentral:rRNA from 1 species
GACGAACGCUGGCGGCGUGCCUAACACAUGCAAGUCGAACGGAAAGGCCCUGCUUUUGUUGGGCGCUCGAGUGGCGAACGGGUGAGUAUCACGUGAGUAACCCCUCCCUGACCUUGGGAUAACUUCAGGAAACUGGGGCUAUUAUCGCAGAGGAUCUCUUGCCGCAUGGUGGGGGUUGGUAAGUUUCGGCGGUUGGGGAUGUACUGGCGGCUUAUGAGCCUGUUGGGGGGGUAGUGGCAUACCAAGGUUUUGACGGGUAGCCGGCCUGAGAGGGUUACCAGCCACAUUAGGACUGAGAUACGGCCCAGACUCCUACGGGAGGCAACAGUGGAGAGUAUUACACAGUAGGCGGGAGCCAGAUGCGGCAACGCCGCGUGCGGGAUGACGGCCUUCGGGUUGUGAACCAAUGUCGCCUGUACCGAGGCGUGAGUGACGGUAAUGGGUCAAGAAGCACCGGCUAACUACGUG